GGCUUAAUUUGAGUCAACACGGGAAACCUCACCCGGCCCGGACACGGAAAGGAUUGAAAGUUCUGUCUCGAUUCUGUGGGUGGGGGUGCAUGGCCGUUCUUAGUUGGUGGAGCGAUUUGUCUGGUUAAUUCCGAUAAUGAUCUGGAUUGCGGCAGGUCAAUCUAGGGAUUGUAAUUGUUUCCCAUCAAAGAGGAAUUCCCAGUAAGCGCAGGUCAGAAGCUCAGAAGUCAGCAC
rnacentral:ncRNA from 1 species